GUGCUUGCUUUGUAAGCACAUAUACUAAAAUUGGAAUGAUACAGAGAUUAGCAUGUCCCCUAUACAAGGAUGACACACAAAAUUUGUGAAGCAUUACACAUUUUU